rnacentral:lncRNA from 1 species
AUAAUCAUUCUUCAUAUGUGUUUAGUGCCUUAUAGUUCAUAAAGCCUUUGUAGUGAUCUGUAAGAUGGCUUCAGAUUCUAUUAUUCCAUGGAUCUGAGACUUAUUCAAGACCAUACUGCUAGUAAGUAUAGGAGAUGGAAUCCUAUUUAUUUCCUUUAUAGCCCUUAUUACAAACUAGAAAUACUUGGUAUUUGUUUAUUUAUUUACUUGUUUAUUUUAUAUUUUUAUUUUCCUCAUUUCAGUUAGUAGCAUCCCCACUUACGUUAAAAAUCAUAAGUGUUAUCUGGAUAUCCUGUAUUUACUUGGUCUCUGAAUCCUGCCUCCUCUGCCUCAGGCAUGCGUCUCUUGUUAGUCCGUCCCUGUCUACCCCCUGCCCUUAGCUGUUAGCUCAGACCUUUCUAAUCUCUCACCACUUCACCCCUCUUGGCUAGCCUUCCGCCUAGUACACCUCACGCCAAUUCACUUUGUGCCUUCAAAAUGGCCGCACGAGGUGCCUUCCUGUUAAAGGAAUCUGAUCAUCUCACUCCCUGGCCUAAAGAUGGCUGCCCAGAGGACUAAUCUAAAUUCUUCCGCGUGGCAUCGAAGACUUUUCACUCCCACCCUCCCUGGUAUGCUUUCCUCUAGUCACAUGGAAUCUCUGUUCCCAGAACAAGGGCCAUUUUUAACCAUUCACUCCUCCAGGUUGUGUGCAUUCUUCUUCCUCUUCUUUGUCACAAAAUUGCCUCCUUAUCCUUCAGUGCUCUCUGAAAUGAAUCACCUCAUUCAUCGAUUCAUUCACUCAUUCAACAUAAUUAUUUUUAGCAUCUAAUAAUUGCAAAAAAAAAAAAAAUUGUGCCAAAGGAAGCCAAACAAAUAGGAUCCCUAUUCGUGGGGAAGUAAGAAUUCUUCUUGAAGACUUUCUUGACACUUUGGGCAGUUGAUGAUUUCCUCUUUACCUACAU